CAGUGUCGGUCUCGCGUCGGGGACAGAUGUGCGUGGCGAGUGUAUCUCCCUGGGUGUUUGUCCACGCCUAUCAAGUGACCACAUAACUUUCUUUCCCUGGUGAUAUGAAGGCGUGGACGCUGCCAUAGUGAAAAACAAGCUGCCCUGUCACUCGUGACUCAGGAGGAUAUUUAGAAGAGAAAGAGGAGGAGGGAUGUAAGGAACGUAACACCACCACCACCACCACCACCUCACUGAUAUAACCAGACUGGAGUAAAGAAAACGUGGAUACCACCUCCCUUUACAUAACAUUUACUUAAGUUCACCAUCUUCUCUUCCGUUCUCUCUCUCAUUGGGGGCGAAUGACAGAAAAUGUACCCUCAGCUGGAGCACGUGGCAGAGCGGCAAGUCCUGGGGCUACUACAUGGGGCACUCCUACCCCCCCCCGGCGCCCCCCAGCCCAAUUCAGUAAUCGCCCUCAUCCCCCGAGGACCCCGCCCCCCUAUCCGCGAGCCGCACGGAGACACGGACGCAAGGGCACCCCUCACUGUCACUCUCUGCCAGGACGCACGAACACACACAUACGCGCAUACUCCACCAUCUGGAUGAGGGAGCACAACUGUGUGUGUGACAAGCUGCUCAAGAUUCACCCAAAUCUUGGGAUGACAACUGCCUCUACCAGACUGCCCGCCUUACUGUCAUCAUUGUCAUCACUGACAUCAAGGAACCACACACACGCUCUCUACCCAGUGCUGGAGGAGGUGAAUGAAAAUGGCCGCCAGCUGAGGUUCCAGGGGCUCAACGCGUACCGCAUGAGGUUUGGCAUGCAGCCCUUCACCUCCUUCCUUGACCUGGCUGGUGACCCCAAACUGGCGGCUGACCUGGAGCACUUCUGCAGGGACAUAGAGGCUGUGGAGUACUAUGUCAGUCUUGUCACGGCACGCCCCGGCCCCUCGGUCACCCUGCCGUCCACGGUCAGUUUGGGAGGCCCCUGGAGUGUGAAGGGGCUUGUGGCUGCCCAUUUGCAGCCCUAAGUACUGGAAGUCCUCCACUUCUGGCAGCAAGGAAGGCUUUCAGGUUGUCAAGACAGCCACUCUGAAGAAACCCUUCUGCCUCAACAUGAAAACAGGCCGUUAGAAUGAGAAUGUCGCGUUCACAGUCUCUCCCUGGUACGUCCUGAGCUUCCGGGGCUGCGUUAGGGCACAUUCAUGCUACGGCUGCGUCUUCAGGUCCUCCCAGCCCAUCCUGGUGCACCCCGAGUCCCUGAAUGUGGGUUAGGGUGUCGGGGUGUGUGGCUGUUGCCUGGGAGGAAAUUGUGCCCGCUCUGAUGGUUGCCAUUACACUUUGACCUGGGAGGUACGCGUUGGUUGUUGAGUGACCCAUCCAUCCAGCCACUCAUCCACAUGACCCAUCCAUCCAGCCACUCAUCCACAUGACCCAUCCAGCCAUCCACCCGAGGCAAGCGCUGCCUCCGCCCCCCCUGUCAGGUAUGGAGGGGUUAGGGAAAGGACGCUGUGCCCCAGCAGCUGCCCCUGACUGGCCAGCUGACCCCCCUUGAUGUCUCCAGGGCCGUGGUGAGGCAGGAGAGGACUCAAGGGUGCUAUCACAAAAACCACUUCUUGUGCCGGGAGGAAGAGCUUUCGUGUGGCCCACUGUGCAAUCCCACGCUGCUGUACCACGGGUCAGAGAGUGAGAGAGUGGAGAAGAGGGAGCUGUUCAGAAGGGCUGUGGAAGUGGAAGGGUGCCCUGUCUGAGUCCUGCCUGUCACUAUGACAUCCUCUGAGGUCCCUGAACACCUUAGCCCCCGUGAACCAGCUGCUGCUGACCGGGACACCUUUGCAGAACAGCCUGGCAGAGCUCUGGCCCCCUCUGAACUUCCUGAUGCCAGAUAUUUUUGAUUCCCUCAAUGUUGGGGGAGAUGCAGGAGGAGGGAAGUGACGAGAGGAUUUUGAGGCAGGAACGGGAGGGCCAGGUCAUCUCCACUCUAAUAAAGGAAUUUUGGGGCAAGUGGAGAGGCCAAGAGAGAAAAAUAUUUGAAGGAUGCUUAAGUGAAGAUAAUAUUUAAAGGAUUUGUGGGAAAAGGAAAGUGGAUGAAAAGACGUUUGUCUCGUGCCAGCGAACGUCCUGUCUGCAGUCGGACUGGUGGUGCCGUGUUGCAGGCUGUGACAUCAGGAAGAGCCAAAUGGAGGGUGUCUACAGCCAGAACUUGCUGCUGCUGCUGUACAAGUGUCACAAGCCAGGUGCUACAGCACACACCAUGUCACCUGACUCCACCAGUGUAUUGUCUAGUCCAGGAUGCAUUGCUGUACGAUUUGCAUGUCUAUUGCCAAUAAAUAAAUUUAUGACUAUUCUUAUAUAUGUGAAAAAAUAUAGAGUUUCCUAACAGUGUGGUAUAGUGUAAAAUAAAUUGUUUGGUGGUAACAAUUCAUGCCCAGAAGAAGAAGAAGAAAAAAAAAAAAAAGCCAGGAUUAACCCACCCCAAAAAAAGUUUAAGAUACAAUUUGCACACAGAAACCCCAUCCGAGCGACACCAGAGUUGCUUGGACAGGGCUUCCUUGUGCAAAUUGUAUCUUAAACUUGCUUUUAAUAAACCAAGUUAAUCCUGGCUUUUUUUUUCACCUUAUGGGCAUGAACUGUACUCCAAGAAAGGUUGUUUAUUUGCAGAAGAUAUUAUUGACAUAGUACACAAGAUGGUAUAUUGAAUUUUUAUUGUUUUAGUGUAUGACAAGUUAAUAAACACACAACAGGAUA